CGGCACGACAUGGGCAGCAGUGACGUCAGACCACACUGCGUCCCGCUGCCGGCGCGGUCGCCGCUCAUCUGCGUGGAUCUUUUGGUGUGCCUUUGUAC